ACAGAACAGAGGGAAUUUCCUGGAAGGCAGGGUCUGUGUUCAUCUCCCACAGAGCAUAGAGCACAGUGGAUGCUGAGGAAAUGGUGAAUGCUGGAAAGGAGAAACAACAGAAGGAGCUCCAGUUCUACCUGAGAAGUGUCCCCAUUGGGGCAGUGACCCAAAGUCUCAUGUGUCUCUGGGAGAUAAAUCAAGAUCAAGGCUAGGGCCUUGGGACUCAGCCUAGCCCUGUGAACAAUAUCUCACCUGGACUUUCAAAAGAUGGGGGUGAAGGUGGACCACACCGGGUGUUCUCAGUGGCUUCCCAGGGCAGCUGCCUCAAUUAGAGGAUUUGCUAGUAUGUAGCAGAGUGUGCAAUAAAUCUUAUUGUUUCAUUAGG
rnacentral:lncRNA from 1 species